ACGGCCAUUGUGGAUUGCGAGUCACUUAUUUAAAUGAAUUGUUAUUAACAGAGGUAAUAACGGAAUGUAUAAAACAUUUAACGUGCACAUAGAAAAAGUGUUAAAAUAAGGUAGAGAUUUGAGACAUCAUGGUGCGCAAAUUAAGUCGACCAGAUUAUACAACUAUAAUUAAACUACUCAAAGAAGGAUGCUAUGAAGAAUGUUGCAAAUUUGUGAAUGAAAAAGGACUAUACCCAAUCCAGGAACACUCACUAAAAUGCCUUGUUGUCUGUGUGCAAUACUUGAAAAAGGAGUUUUCUUCAACAUCCCUGGUAAAAUUCAUAAAUUGCUUGGAGUUUACUGAAGACAUCAAAACAGUGAUUUGAAGAACUAUCUUCUGUCUGUGUUUCAUAUUGUACAUUUUUUAAUUGAUAAGGAUGACUGGAGUAAUAUUCAUCUUAUACUGCAUCUAAUACACCCCAUCAGCACCAAAAUAAAAGAAGAAGACAUGAAAUUAUACAUUGGAAUCAGGUCAAAUCUUCUUAAAGCCUUAAACACACCAAACACACAGGUAACAGAUGAAACAAUUGAUAAAAUCCUGGAAUUUUCCAUUAACUUAGAAGAAACCAGUGAAAAACCAGACUUUUGAAGUUCUUUUUAAACUAAUAUCAACUAUACCAACACAAAGCAUCAGAUUGAAGAUAGGCACAUUGGCUAUUGAUACAAUCAUAAGAAACAACUGCAAUAUUUUCACAAAAACCAAUUUUAAACUACUUCUGUCACUUUUAACGAAAUUUUUUAUAUCUGAUACACAUGAAAUUAUUUCUUGCACGGAGUUAAAAUCAUGUAUAAAUAAGCUUAAAAUCUAUGCAAAGAAAAAAGAUGACUUGCAAGAUGUCAUGGAUUACUUCUUAGCAACAACCACGCUGUUUACCACUGUGGAUUCAAUCAAAUUUGACGAUCCACAGUUGUUUUCUGAACCAAUCACGACGAUAAAUCGCGCUCAUAAAAAUGCAUCAGGAACUUAUUUAGAAGACGUUGUUUCAUUCGCGUCGCAUAUUCAAAGCAGAAUCAAAAUGGCGGAUAGACAGUUGAUAAAAAAAGUAAAACCAAUUAUAUACACAAAAGCAUUAAAUGCUUCUCUACAUGCGUAUAUCUCCCACGCGAAAUCACAAGCAAUUAUUUUAAAACGCGGAGAUUUAUUGAUAAAAUGCUGCUGUUCAAUACGAAAAAAUAUCAUCGGUGCCAUAAGUAUACAAAGAGAUGCGUUUGAGUAUGCAACCCGUGUGCUUAGUCUGGUAAAAGACGAAUCUACAAUAAUAUCAGAUAUUUACAAAGCCCUACAAAAACUUUUCAUCAACACACUGGAGUUAUUUGAUAGUUUAAAAGAAGCUAAAUGCAAACAUUUGACAACAGAGUGGGAGAAUCUCUGCAGGAUUGUCUACAGUUUUUGCAUCACGAUGGCUUCCGCCAAGCGAUUUAAUGUGAAUAUAUUAUUUGUGGAACCUCUAGCUAAGGC